UCCUUUUAUGAAGACGCCAGUCAGAAUGAAGUUGGACGCACCCUAAUGACCUCAACUUAACUAAACUUCGUCUGCAAAGACCGAUUUUCAAAUAAGGAGCCACCAUGGGAGAUCCCACCCAUGACAAAGGUCAUGCGGAGAGAACCUGACAGGCAAAGGCAGAUCAGGCCUCAAGGGACCCCCUGGAUCUGCUCGAGCAUCUACCCCAAAACCAGAAUCUGUCUGUCUUACUAUUUUGUGCCUUUCACCAACUCUCCUGACAUUAACAGGGGGUAUCCCCGAACACCUGUCUCUGGAAGACGUCAACUUAGAGCUUUAAUUAAUAAGUCUCCUGGGCAUGAAAGGAAUAUUUCUAUUUUAACCCCUCUGUUGGCAUUCUAGCUUGCCUGACAGGUUGAUCCAUACUCUUGCAAUUAACACACAUGAUUGUUCACAACUCCCCAGCCUUGAAAGGCACGGGAAGCCAAAACAUUCUAAAAGUCCUAAUGAGCAUAGAGCCCUUUAAGAGAUGAAAAAUUAUUAGAAUAGAUAGUACUGGUAAAGGGCUUCAUUAUUGGGCCAAUGCUUGCUGCCAAGUGCCCAUAUCCCUUAUCCACUGUGUACCUGGGAGUGCAUUGGUUAACAUAGUUGGAAUGUAAGAAAAACAAGUAGUAGCCUUGGAAUUAACCACAUCAGACCUUUGAGCUAAUUGGUUCUUUCUUUGUUGUAACUCACUGCACCUUUGCUCCCUAAGAAUGUAACUCUGUUUAGUACUUUCUGAGGCUGGGAGAAAUAAAGAAGAAACACUUUAAGGGAAAACAAGUUUUCUGGCUGAUCAGCCUUUAUCAAAAAAGGGUCAUAAAAUGUCCACAGGCCUCCAAGGCCAGAAGAUAUUGUACACAACAUUGUUUACGGGAAAGGUAUGCAGAAAAAAUCCUGGUUUCGAUAAAGACAAAACAGAUGUAAUGUUUGGGCUGACUCUGUAUGACUUUGCAUCUUUCAUUUCCCUCUAUGUACAAGUCAAGGUAUGAAAGUUCCUUUUGAAAAUAAAGUUAUGGGCCUCACUCACUGAA
ensembl:lncRNA